rfam:Enterococcus thailandicus strain F0711D 46 Ent-16_S35_L001_001_4, whole genome shotgun sequence.
GUUUUGGAAGCAUUCGAAACAACAUAGCUCUAAAAC